rnacentral:rRNA from 1 species
UGGGGAAUAUUGGACAAUGGGGGCAACCCUGAUCCAGCAAUGCCGCGUGUGUGAAGAAGGUCUUCGGAUUGUAAAGCACUUUCGACGGGGACGAUGAUGACGGUACCCKUAGAAGAAGCCCCGGCUAACUUCGUGCCAGCAGCCGCGGUAAUACGAAGGGGGCUAGCGUUGCUCGGAAUGACUGGGCGUAAAGGGCGUGUAGGCGGUUUGUACAGUCAGAUGUGAAAUCCCCGGGCUUAACCUGGGAGCUGCAUUUGAUACGUGCAGACUAGAGUGUGAGAGAGGGUUGUGGAAUUCCCAGUGUAGAGGUGAAAUUCGUAGAUAUUGGGAAGAACCACCCGGUGGCGAAGGCGGCAACCCUGGCUCC